rnacentral:lncRNA from 1 species
UACGAGUCAACAAUAAGUUCAGAAUUUGCGUGGCUUACAUCGUUGAAUGGUCUGUAUUCUUUUCACCAUCACCAUUGUUUUAUCCAUUUCUUUUCGAACUUGCCUGGCUUACAUCAUUGAACGGGUUGUUGGUGGAUAUGUACUAAUGAAGAAACAAAAGUAACACAAUACACAUGAACCGAUAACAAACUUACACAGGACCUAACAACAAGAACAGGCAUGAACUAACAACGAUAACAAAUUUGCAGGCGGACUGACAACAAGAACACAGAUGAACUUAAAACAAAAAUGUAAAUGGUGACCAACUCAGAGGCAUACUGUAGCACGCAGGAGCGGCAACCAAUUAGUCAACUCAUCAAGGCCACCAAUACGCAGGAGAGCAUGGUGUGGGAAACAAUAAUGGGAGGCUACGUGUGGUCGUGGAUGCAUUGUGGGGGUUGAGCGACAACUGUGGUUGAUGGCAAGCUGGAACGACAAGAACGGGCAGCUUGAGAACAAGUGGGCGGUGCGCGACAUCUCACUUUAGAUGCGCCUGUUGGACUGAUUUCCUUCUCCCAUCUGGACGUAUCAAUUGCAGAACUUUCUAUUAGAAACAUUAAAGAUACAAAAUAGUCGUGUGCUCAAACUUGAAGUAAGAUAUGAUUUCAUGUCCUUAUCCAUUAAUAAAAUCAUACUAUGUACAUUUGUAGAAUACUUGCUCUCAGUACUAGUCAUUCUACUUAGUUAUCCAAAACAGUUGUGAAUGCUACAUCCAUUUUUCUCAAUAAAAUGUAACAUAUAAGUUUGAUACAGACAGAAAUAUGCACCAAAAGAUAUACCCAAAAUUCAAGUUCACAACAUCGGAAGAAACAAAUAAUUUGAUGCCAACCUAAGUGAGCACUGAAAGAUGCAAAGAAGAGGCUUUUUUGAGACAUUGACUUUGGUACAUGUUUUUCUCUACAAAUUGAUAAACCAAGAGCAGUACAGAUGCUCAUUUCUCAUGCUUAACCACAAGCACACGUUUGUUCUAUACGAAGCUGGAAACAUAAAACAGAAAUUGGACUUACAAUGAGGAAGUAGAUGUACUAAAAGUUGAAGCUUUGGAUCCUCAUGACGAACUGGACCAUACUGGAGUUUUGAAUGGUGGUGAAGCUUCACAUCCUUCAUCGUCACUCCUGCCAUGAGCCAAAAUCACAAACUUCAAAAUUACGAACUUCGUCUACUUUAUUUUUUCUUUCAAAAUUUUGCUUGUUUUCUAAACGUCCAACAAGAAUAAUGUAGAUCCUCCAAUUUCACCCUUUUUGUAACUGCUACAUCUGGUUUUGGCUGCAUCCUGAAAAAAUAAAAAUCUAAGAGAUGAGAUACCAGCAUGUGUAAUGAUUCUUGUGCAGAAUAUGGAAACACAAAGAUGAUCAGACUUUUGAUUGGAAAGUAGAUGAGCUGAAAAGCAUCCAAACUACGAACUGAAAACAUUGAAGCUCUGGAACACCCAACAUGGGGCAACAGUGACUGGCGGGGUAGCACUGGAACCCAGCAGUAGAGACAGCCGCUGCAUCGGCCAUGAGCGGCUCGCCACACACAUCUGCUCCAUGCGUUUGUCUCCUUGCUCGCCAUAGUACACUAGCCGCCUACUCACUGUCACCGGUCGGGCCUUGCACAUACCAGUAACCAAUUAACCACGCACUACAACACACCUAGGACUGUAUCUUUGGCACACUUUGAACUGAUGGGUAAUUUUGUGUAUUUUUAUUACUGCACAUGAAGUUAAAGUAACACCAAAACUAGCAACUCUAUUAGCUUCAUCUUUUAGAAGUGCACAAGAAGGUAGAAGAAGAUUGAAACUAGCAACUGUAAUACUUCAUCUUUAGAAGUUAGGGCACAUGAAGGUAAAAGAAGACUGACGAGCUAGUAAAUGUAACAUUGUAAAAAACUAUGAGAUGCAUAACCACACAACAAAAACUAAGAGCAUGCAUGGAAACUCAAACUAUAUGGUUUUGUAGGUAGCAUAGCAUGGUCGCUCAGACCAAAAUCAAACACAGUGGUCAGCUAUAUGAUGUUUCUAUGACCAUGUUGUACCUACGACAGAGCAAUAACAUCACAUCAUGAGAGAAAGGAUGCAACAUGAACAGUUCAGGAGAUAGAACGGGUAGAGAAGAAGUAAAUAUGUUUUGAGGAGAUGAACUGACCAGGAUUUAAAUGAACUCUCACAAGCAGUAUUUUUUAUACUUCUUAUGUAGUAAUACAUGGACUUGCUGUCAAACAAUUCAGGUAGUUGAACUGGCCACACCGCUGCACCAUGUUGCCCAGCUCCUUCUCGACGGCCUGCUUAUUGUGAUCGCCGACGAGCACCCUGGGCUUCACCAUGAACCUGGUUAAAAGAUAUAUGGGACUGGACCCUGUAGAUUUAAAUGAACUCUCACUAGAAGUAAUUUUUGUACUUCCCAUGUAGUACUACAUGGACUUGCUGUAAAAUGCAUGGACCAUGUAAUAAUUUGGAAGUUAAUUAUAUUAUCAUCUCAAGGAGCUCAAGUUGGACUGAAACUCACUUGAUAACUGAAACUACUAGGGCGAGGGGCAGGAUCCAUGGUGCUGCUAGCAAUGAACGGCCUGGGGUGGUGGCAUUGAAUGGCUUGGAAUGGUGGUUGUGAACGUCAAGGGUGCUCCGGCAGCAGAGCCCCACUGGGAGAUGGCAAUGCAAUCAGAACUUCAGAGACAAUUUUACAAAGUUACAGCUGCAAGCUAGCAAGGAUAUUGUAGAUUUUUGUUUGGCACUAUGGUCAUGGAGUCAAAUAAGAUCAAACAUGCCAGGCAUAUAAAAUUUGUUGUUUGAUGUUACCAUGAGCAGUGGUUACAUAGUAAAUUCAAAAAAAAACAUGGCAGGAACAUCAUGGAUAGCAGUAAAUGGCAAUUCACUUGGAAGCAUCUGGUACAAAAAAUGUACUAGCAACGACAAAUUCAUUUGCAAGCAACCGCUAUAUAUGCGUGAUUCCAAAAUUGUUCCCCAACCUGUUGCAACAUCACUACUUGAACUGGUGUGAGUCCAAACCUAGACGGACGGGACAGGAGGGAGACGGUCGAGCACGAUGAUCACUGAUCAAUUCACAUAGGAACAUGAACAAAGUGCAUACGGUGGAACAUACUGCAAUUUGUGAGGUUCUUCUCAUCCAAG